AAAGGAAGUUGACGGGGCCCGGCACAAGCGGUGGAGUAUGUGGUUUAAUUCGAAGCAACGCGCAGAACCUUACCAGCCCUUGACAUACCGGUCGCGGACACAGAGAUGUGUCUUUCAGUUCGGCUGGACCGGAUACAGGUGCUGCAUGGCUGUCGUCAGCUCGUGUCGUGAGAUGUUGGGUUAAGUCCCGCAACGAGCGCAACCCUCGCCCUUAGUUGCCAGCAUUUAGUUGGGCACUCUAAGGGGACUGCCGGUGAUAAGCCGAGAGGAAGGUGGGGAUGACGUCAAGUCCUCAUGGCCCUUACGGGCUGGGCUACACACGUGCUACAAUGGUGGUGACAGUGGGCAGCGAGCACGCGAGUGUGAGCUAAUCUCCAAAAGCCAUCUCAGUUCGGAUUGCACUCUGCAACUCGAGUGCAUGAAGUUGGAAUCGCUAGUAAUCGCGGAUCAGCCAUGCCGACGGUGAAUACGUUCCGGCCUU
rnacentral:rRNA from 1 species